CCUACGGGGGGCAGCAGUGAGGAAUAUUGGUCAAUGGGCGGGAGCCUGAACCAGCCAAGUCGCGUGAGGGAAGACGGUCCUAUGGAUUGUAAACCUCUUUAGGCGGGGAGCAAUGCCGGGCACGCGUGCCCGGAGGGAGAGUACCCGCAGAAUAAGCAUCGGCUAACUCCGUGCCAGCAGCCGCGGUAAUACGGAGGAUGCGAGCGUUAUCCGGAUUUAUUGGGUUUAAAGGGAGCGUAGGCCGGUCUUUAAGCGUGCCGUGAAAUUUUGUGGCUCAACCAUGAGAGUGCGGCGCGAACUGGAGA
rnacentral:rRNA from 1 species